CCUACGGGAGGCAGCAGUGAGGAAUAUUGGUCAAUGGACGAGAGUCUGAACCAGCCAAGUAGCGUGAAGGAUGACUGCCCUAUGGGUUGUAAACUUCUUUUAUAUGGGAAUAAAACGUUCCACGUGUGGGAUUUUGUAUGUACCAUAUGAAUAAGGAUCGGCUAACUCCGUGCCAGCAGCCGCGGUAAUACGGAGGAUCCGAGCGUUAUCCGGAUUUAUUGGGUUUAAAGGGAGCGUAGGUGGAUUGUUAAGUCAGUUGUGAAAGUUUGCGGCUCAACCGUAAAAUUGCAGUUGAAACUGGCAGUCUUGAGUACAGUAGAGGUUGGCGGAAUUCGUGGUGUAGCGGUGAAAUGCUUAGAUAUCACGAAGAACUCCGAUUGCGAAGGCAGUUCACUGGACUGCAACUGACACUGAGGCUCGAAAGUGUGGGUAUCAAACAGGAUUAGAUAUCCGGGUAGUC
rnacentral:rRNA from 1 species